CCCUUAGAUGUUCUGGGCCGCACGCGCGCUACACUGAUGCAUUCAACGAGUCCAACCUUGACCGAGAGGUCCGGGUAAUCUUUGAAACUGCAUCGUGAUGGGGCUAGAUUAUUGCAAUUAUUAAUCUUCAACGAGGAAUGCCUAGUAAGCGUGAUUCAUCAAAUCGCGUUGAUUACGUCCCUGCCCUUUGUACACACCGCCCGUCGCACCUACCGAUUGAAUGGUCCGGUGAAGUCUUCGGACCGAUGCUGACUCGUUGGCAACGGAAAGUUGAGUAAACCUUACCAUUUAGAGGAAGGUGAAGUCGUAACA
rnacentral:rRNA from 1 species